AAGUCGUAACAAGGUUUCCGUAGGUGAACCUGCGGAAGGAUCAUUAACGAGUUUUGAAAGGGGUUGUAGCUGGCCUUCCGAGGCAUGUGCACGCCCUGCUCAUUCCACUCUACACCUGUGCACUUACUGUGGGUCUCAGGCGAGCGUCGGUCGCUUCGCGGCGUCGUCGUUCAACUGGGCUCACGUUUUACUACGAACUAUUAAAGUAUCAGAAUGUCUAUUGCGAAUUAACGCAUUUAUAUACAACUUUCAGCAACGGAUCUCUUGGCUCUC
rnacentral:misc_RNA from 1 species